rnacentral:rRNA from 1 species
GUCUACAACCAUACCACCCUGAACACACCCAAUCUCGUCUGAUGUCAGAAGCUAAGCAGGAUCGGGCCAGGUUAGUACUUGGUUGGGAGAAAGCUGGAUUAGGGC